GGAGCGAUGUCCGAGCUGGCCGAAGGAGCAGCACUGGAAAUGCUGUAACGGGCUUCCCGUUCGUGGGUUCGAAUCCCACUCGCUCCGCCA
rnacentral:tRNA from 1 species